rnacentral:misc_RNA from 1 species
UGUGUAUAGGCUUGGACAACUAUUUGAUUUCUUCAGAAUGCUCUCUUUCUACUUCACAACUGUUGGAUAUUAUGUUUGCACAAUGAUGACAGUUCUGACGGUAUACAUAUUCCUGUAUGGGAGGGUUUACCUGGCUUUCUCUGGACUUGAUAGUGCAAUUUCAAAGGAAGAAAAGCUGCUAGGUAACACUGCUUUUGAGGCUGUUUUGAACGCGCAAUUCUUGGUACAGAUUGGAGUUUUCACAGCUGUCCCCAUGAUAAUGGGUUUUAUACUUGAACUGGGAUUGCUGAAGGCUGUUUUUAGCUUUAUUACAAUGCAACUUCAGUUGUGUUCAGUCUUCUUCACAUUUUCUUUGGGAACUAGAACUCAUUAUUUUGGACGUACUAUCCUCCAUGGAGGAGCAAAGUAUAGAGCAACUGGUAGAGGCUUUGUAGUCCGUCAUAUCAAAUUUGCUGAAAAUUACAGGCUUUACUCAAGAAGUCAUUUUGUUAAAGCGCUUGAAGUGGCACUGCUUCUCAUAGUUUACAUUGCAUAUGGGUACACAGAAGGGGGUGCCACAUCCUUUGUUUUGUUGACUCUUAGCAGUUGGUUUCUUGUCAUCUCAUGGCUCUUUGCUCCUUACAUAUUCAAUCCCUCAGGUUUUGAAUGGCAAAAGACGGUUGAAGAUUUUGAUGAUUGGACCAGCUGGCUUUUGUAUAAAGGUGGUGUAGGGGUGAAAGGAGAUGAUAGCUGGGAAUCAUGGUGGAACGAAGAGCAGAUGCACAUCCAAACAUUGAGAGGUCGUAUAUUAGAAACAAUAUUGAGCUUGCGGUUCUUCAUGUUUCAAUAUGGCAUUGUAUACAAACUCCAUCUAACAGGAAAGGACACAUCUCUUACGAUUUAUGGCUUCUCCUGGAUCGUAUUGAUUUUCAUCUUCAUGAUAUUUAAGAUCUUUACCUAUAGCCCUAAAAAAUCCAACAACAUAUUUGAGAAAUGCAUCAACUUCAAGCUAUUCAUGCGAUUCAUGCAAGGGGUUACAUCGUUAGGACUUGUUGCGGCCCUUUGUCUUGUUAUUGCCUUCACAAAUCUAACAAUCGCUGACCUUUUUGCAAGUAUACUGGCAUUUAUUCCUACUGGAUGGGCAAUCUUAUGUUUGGCUGUCACUUGGAAAAGGAUUGUUUGGAGUCUAGGCUUGUGGGAUUCAGUACGGGAAUUUGCUAGAAUGUAUGAUGCUGGGAUGGGUAUGAUUAUUUUUGCUCCAAUUUCAUUCUUAUCAUGGUUUCCAUUCGUCUCUACGUUCCAGUCUCGCCUUCUCUUUAACCAAGCAUUUAGCCGUGGACUUGAGAUCUCUCUCAUCCUUGCUGGAAACAAGGCAAAUGUUGAUGUCUGAUUCAAUACCUUCCUACUUGGCUGGUCUACCUUUAAGGUUUACAGAUUUUAGAUGAAAUAGCAUUUGUAUGGUACUGAUCAUGUAUUCCUUCUCAAUAGAAUUCCAGGUAGCUGUGUAUCAUAUUUGUAAAAAUGUAGCUUUACGAGAAAACUAUUACUUUCUUCCCUUUUUUAAGGCUUGAAGCCUUGAAGGUGUGACAUGUAUUCGAGUCGAGUGAACGUUUGCGAUUAGAGUGGUGUUUUUAUUUGAUCGCUUUAUUUUCAUGGGUUUCAAAGAAUGUUUCAAUCUUCCUUCAAUUUCUAUUGGCUGGCAUAUGUGCCACGCGCCACCGUCAC